GAACCAGUUCAUUUACGUGACAUUUCCCAGUAUCCAGAGGUGACGCAAUAUCAGGUUGUUGAAAAGAAAGAGGUUAUCUAUUAAAAUCCUAGCCUAACAUCACAAGAAAAGGUUGAAUUGUGUUAAAUUAACUAUACAACAAUGUGCAGUAUACAUUAUGUCCAUUAUUCAAAAUUGACAAAAUUGACUAUUACUGGUAAUUUCUCAAGGAAAUUCUCUGUUGUCAGCACAUUCGUUAGUUGAACUUCAAAGUUUGUAGCAUCAAGAUACAACAAAAAAACAUACCAGUAGUUUCAAAAACUAUUAAACCUGGAUAAAGACAGGAAGAAAAUGCCAUCAAAAAUGGAUAAAAAUACACCACCUAGAGCAGAUUUUAACAACAGUGGUACAAGUCUAGAUGGGAAAGACAAGUUUAAGAUUAAUUUUCCUCCACAGUUUGGAACACCCCUUGGAAAUACCCAGGCAACAAAAAGUGAAAGCAUCACAGAGCAAAGCAAGAGAAUACCAUGGAGCACCAUCCCAUUCUUAACUAUUAUGAAACCAAUACAGUUUCCAAAAGAUGACUUUAAAGGGGAGAUAACAACUAACGUUCAGAAAGCAAUGGGAUCUAGUCCAUCACAGUGGACGACAAAAACAAAAGUCAAAAGGAAAGAAUUAAAUAUGUUUUCACCGUCUUCAUUUUGAAAGCAAUCAACACUGCAUAGUUUGUAAAUUUCAUUUUCAGUCUACCUCAUACAUUUGUACAUGUCAUAUUGAAUUAUUCUGUUGUUUUUAAUGGUUUGGGGAAAUCACAUAAUUGUGCCUGAUUUCAUUAAAUUUCAAUGUGUUCAUGCAAUUUUCAGAUAGUGCACUUUUUUGUAACAAUUUUCUUUUGGGUUUAAAAUUAUAAUUAGUUACUCUGUAAGGUGGAACAGUCAUUUGUUAAAAUGUAAGGCAGCACCAAUUUGAUUUAUAUUAUUAAUCAGUUUUUGUUAUAUAUUUUUUUAAGACCUCAUUUAAAGGAAACUUAAUUAAUGCAUUUGAUUAUGACAUGUGGUGAUUUUAUUUUUUUAAAUAUGAUCAGACUCAGUUCAAAAUGAUUGCAAGAAAUUUACAUGGGCUACAAAUCAAUUGGUGUUAAUUGAUAUAAUUUAGAAAGACAAAUAGAGAAAAAAGUACUACAUCAUGUACAUUGUACAUGUAACAGGGGCAGAUCCAGCCAUUUUUAAAAGGGGGGUUCAAACUAUAUGUUCCCAUUCAAAUGCAUUGAUCAUAAAAAAAAAAAGGGGGGGUUCCAACCCCCGGAACCCUCCCCCUGGAUCCGCCACUGCAUGUAAUAUGUAAAAUCUCUAAUUUCAGUAUUCAAAUUUUAGUUCCUACAUGUACAUGUAAAAAUGUUAUUCCACAUGUUAUAUAAAAAUGUUAUCAGAUUUAUUUUUAUUUGUAAAUUAAGAUCUCCAAAUCUGAAAUAGUCAGUUCAGACUACAUGUACAUAGAAAUUAGAAUUAAACAACACCUGUUAGAGUUAACAAACCAAACUUAUUUUCAGAAAGGUUUACUUUUUAAGCAUGUCAGGUUUUUAUAAAUUUUCAACGAUUGCUUCUUUUUAGACAUUUUGUUUUAUAAAAGGAGGAUUACAACAUGAAUGAUAUGAUGACUUUUUUUGCUUUUUGAAUUAAAAAAUAAAUUUUUUUAUAAAUCUAUCAAAUAAGUUCAGUCUGACUAAACAUGCUAAAGCCUGCCACACUAUCCACUUGCGUUUGUAGGCUACAAAAGCAAAUGAUAGUGGGGGGUGGCUUUAGUCAAACUGAAAUAAAUUGGGCAUCCAUGAAAUUUUUACAAGACACUAGACUGUCUAAUUUCAGUAUUAGUUAAGAACUUUGAAUUUUGUCUCAUAUUUACUUACUCUUUCAAAUUUCCUGCAUUUAUGAAUAUUGUUUACAUAUUUUAAAAUUCAUAUAACCUCAUAGUUUUUUUUUUUUAUUUUAAUGCAAAAACAGUGAAAAUGUAAAAUCAUGGUAACUUUUAUAUCAGAUUUUCAGUAUACAUGUACAUGGUACAUGUAUAUAAUAAUAACAAGUGCUAAUGUUGAAUGAAUUUUUGCAAUUUGAAUUCCUGUGUAUUUCAGUUCAUUACAAAUGAGUUGUCUUUGUUGAGUAUUUAGUAAUUAUAUAAUGGUCAAACCAUUGUUGCAUUUAGAAAGCAUUUGUUAUAAUAUAUACCAUGUAUACAUUAAUAAUAAAUUAAACAUAUAUCAUUUAAUAUGAUAUUAUCAUAUAUACAUUUAUGUGUGCUUCAUGUUAUAGUAUUAAAACUGGAAUUAAAAAUUGUUCUCAUGCAUGCUCAUGGUACAAUAAAAUUGAGAAUGGAAAUGGGAAAUAUGUCAAAGAUACAACAACCCGACCAAAGAGCAGACAACAGCCGAAAGGCCACCAAUGGGUCUUUCAACGCAGCAAGAAAAUCCCGCACCCGGAGGUGGUCCUCAGCUGGCCCCUAAAUAAAACUGUGUACAAGAAUGGAAAAAUUAUGAAUUUUCUUUAAGCUCUAGAUCUGAAGAACAUGUACAUUCACAAUAAUGAUUGACCUGCUAUUUCAUGUAUUAUCGAAUUGUUUGAGGAAUUUUUCCCAUUUUUCCAGACUGGAAUACUUGAUAAUUUUUCAGCAAAAUUUACUAAAGAUGGUACCUGUUUUUUGUUAUCAUCUCUUAUACAGUUUCAAACCAGAUCUUCAGAACAUCAAAGAAAAAUUGCACACAUGUUUAAGUUAUUCAUCUGCUAUUAUGGAAUCUUUUAAGGAAUUUUUCCCAUUUUUCCAAACUUGGGAAAUUUAAUAAAGAUGGUACCAGUUUUUGUAAUCAAGAUUCCUACAUGUUGAACCCGUAUCCUUGAAACUUCACAGAAGGAUUGCACAAAAGGUGGUCACAAUUUUGUUUUUAACCUUAUUAAGAGUUUUCAAACAUUUGGAGGUUGUGCUCCUUUCUCCAUUGUUAAAGAAAAAAUCUGGACAAGCCAUUUGAUUCCCUAUUUGAUUUAGUUUGAAUGGCAGCAUUAUUUUUCACUGAAACAAUUUCAAUUAAGUUAUAAAGACAGCAUUAUUUUCAAAUGAUCCUUGCAUAACAGGAACUACUUAUCUUUUUUGCAUACUUAUUUGUUCAUUGUUCACCAUGUUCACUGUAAAAAAUGUUUUUGAUUGUUGUGAUAAUGUGUGUAUUUGUACUUGUACAUAUAAUGUGCAUUUGUAAAUGUGUUAAUUCACCUGUGAUCACGUUCAUGAUGAUAUAUGUGAAAUUAUUUUCAUAAGUAAAUAUAACGAAAUAUGAAA